rnacentral:rRNA from 1 species
AUUGAACGCUGGCGGCAUGCUUUACACAUGCAAGUCGAACGGCAGCGCGGGCUUCGGCCUGGCGGCGAGUGGCGAACGGGUGAGUAAUACAUCGGAACGUGCCCAGUAGUUGGGGAUAGCUCGGCGAAAGCCGGAUUAAUACCGCAUACGACCUGAGGGUGAAAGCGGGGGAUCUUCGGACCUCGCGCUAUUGGAGCGGCCGAUGGCAGAUUAGCUAGUUGGUGGGGUAAAGGCCUACCAAGGCGACGAUCUGUAGCUGGUCUGAGAGGACGACCAGCCACACUGGGACUGAGACACGGCCCAGACUCCUACGGGAGGCAGCAGUGGGGAAUUUUGGACAAUGGGCGAAAGCCUGAUCCAGCAAUGCCGCGUGUGUGAUGAAGGCCUUCGGGUUGUAAAGCACUUUUGGCGGGAAAGAAAAGGACUGUGCCAAUACCACGGUUCGAUGACGGUACCCGCAGAAUAAGCACCGGCUAACUACGUG